GUGUGCUAUUCUUUUUAACAUAUUUUUACAAAUUUUAUAAAACGUUUAGCGUUUAAAAAAAUGAAAAUAUUUGUGGUUUUUUUGGUUUUUUCAUUGGUUUGUAACGCGCAAGGGUUAGCCAGUGCAUUGUGGCCAAUUACGGCAACUAAAAAAAAGGAAAUCGUUAACGAUUUGCAAUUUAAAAGCAAAGAGCAAGGUGAACCAAUUAAAGUCACAAACAAUAUUGAAGAAAACAAAAUAAAAGCAAUCAAAGAUAUGAAGAAUGACCAUGAAGGAAAUAACGAGGCUGCUAAUGAAGUUAAAAAAUUACUUCAUAAACUCCGAAAGUAAAUUUUGGUUAAUAUACGAUUUAUAAAUAAAGUGUGAUAACAAAGUAUUGAAAUAAACAUAUUAUAUUUUUUUUGCACAUA